UUUGAUCCUGGCUCAGGACGAACGCUGGCGGCGUGCUUAACACAUGCAAGUCGAACGAUGAAGCCCUUCGGGGUGGAUUAGUGGCGAACGGGUGAGUAACACGUGGGCAAUCUGCCCUUCACUCUGGGACAAGCCCUGGAAACGGGGUCUAAUACCGGAUAACACUCUGUCCUGCAUGGGACGGGGUUGAAAGCUCCGGCGGUGAAGGAUGAGCCCGCGGCCUAUCAGCUUGUUGGUGGGGUAAUGGCCUACCAAGGCGACGACGGGUAGCCGGCCUGAGAGGGCGACCGGCCACACUGGGACUGAGACACGGCCCAGACUCCUACGGGAGGCAGCAGUGGGGAAUAUUGCACAAUGGGCGAAAGCCUGAUGCAGCGACGCCGCGUGAGGGAUGACGGCCUUCGGGUUGUAAACCUCUUUCAGCAGGGAAGAAGCGCAAGUGACGGUACCUGCAGAAGAAGCACCGGCUAACUACGUGCCAGCAGCCGCGGUAAUACGUAGGGUGCGAGCGUUGUCCGGAAUUAUUGGGCGUAAAGAGCUCGUAGGCGGCUUGUCACGUCGGAUGUGAAAGCUCGGGGCUUAACUCCGAGUCUGCAUUCGAUACGGGCUAGCUAGAGUGUGGUAGGGGAGAUCGGAAUUCCUGGUGUAGCGGUGAAAUGCGCAGAUAUCAGGAGGAACACCGGUGGCGAAGGCGGAUNUCUGGGCCAUUAC
rnacentral:rRNA from 1 species